rnacentral:rRNA from 1 species
GACGAACGCUGGCGGCGUGCCUAAUACAUGCAAGUAGAACGCUGAGGUUUGGUGUUUACACUAGACUGAUGAGUUGCGAACGGGUGAGUAACGCGUAGGUAACCUGCCUCAUAGCGGGGGAUAACUAUUGGAAACGAUAGCUAAUACCGCAUAAGAGUAAUUAACACAUGCUGGUUAUUUAAAAGGAGCAAUUGCUUCACUGUGAGAUGGACCUGCGUUGUAUUAGCUAGUUGGUGAGGUAAAGGCUCACCAAGGCGACGAUACAUAGCCGACCUGAGAGGGUGAUCGGCCACACUGGGACUGAGACACGGCCCAGACUCCUACGGGAGGCAGCAGUAGGGAAUCUUCGGCAAUGGACGGAAGUCUGACCGAGCAACGCCGCGUGAGUGAAGAAGGUUUUCGGAUCGUAAAGCUCUGUUGUUAGAGAAGAACGUUGGUAGGAGUGGAAAAUCUACCAAGUGACGGUAACUAACCAGAAAGGGACGGCUAACUACGUGCCAGCAGCCGCGGUAAUACGUAGGUCCCGAGCGUUGUCCGGAUUUAUUGGGCGUAAAGCGAGCGCAGGCGGUUCUUUAAGUCUGAAGUUAAAGGCAGUGGCUUAACCAUUGUACGCUUUGGAAACUGGAGGACUUGAGUGCAGAAGGGGAGAGUGGAAUUCCAUGUGUAGCGGUGAAAUGCGUAGAUAUAUGGAGGAACACCGGUGGCGAAAGCGGCUCUCUGGUCUGUAACUGACGCUGAGGCUCGAAAGCGUGGGGAGCAAACAGG